UUUGACAGUAGAUUUUGUAUAAUGCCCUGACAAUCCUAUGACGUCAUGAACUUGAUGACGUCACAAUGCUACGACAUGCACUGCAAUUGUAAUAAUCAGAGAUACUAAUACUCUAUAUAGUAUGCAGGUAUAAAACAUCAGAUAUAACUUAAGAGAUAUUUACAGAGAAAGCAUUUUGUACUUAUAUAUAUACAUGUAUACAAAUCAAGGAUAUCAAGCAGGUGUUAUCAGUGUGUCUCACUGUGAAGCCUCACUCACAGGUCACCAGAUACUCACGUCACGACACUUGGAAAUUAGCCAAGCGUACUGGGGACUGGAAAAACCAAAAGGAGGCAUUUGGAUGUUACGCAAUACGAGCGUGCAGAUACAUACAGGUAUGUUGCGUGUUCAUAUCACAACGACAUGCCUGGGUGUAUGUAGCACAGCCGUCUAGAGCGUCUCCGAUCAGUAUUCAGAUUCUUAACAAUAUGAAUCGAAUUGAGUGGGCAACUUUGGUGACUGUGACAACCCUGGCAACGGUUACAUUGAAAGUGGAAGGUCAACGUUCAUGUUCUACCGAUGGCUGUCUCCAUGGUAACGGUGGUCUACGAUGUCAGUCAUGUA